rnacentral:rRNA from 1 species
GACGAACGCUGGCGGCGUGCUUAACACAUGCAAGUCGAACGGAAAGGCCCUGCUUGCCGGGUACUCGAGUGGCGAACGGGUGAGUAACACGUGGGUGAUCUGCCCUGCACUUCGGGAUAAGCCUGGGAAACUGGGUCUAAUACCGGAUAGGAGCCAUUUUUAGUGUGAUGGUUGGAAAGUUUUUUCGGUGUAGGAUGAGCUCGCGGCCUAUCAGCUUGUUGGUGGGGUACUGGCCUACCAAGGCGGCGACGGGUAGCCGGCCUGUGAGGGUGGACGGCCACCUUGGGACUGGGAUACGGCCCAGACUCCUACGAGAGGCAGCAGUGGGGAAUAUUGCACCAUGGGCGCCAGCCUGUUGCAGCGACGCCGCGUGGGGGAUGACGGCCCUCGGGUUGUAAACUCCUUUCGCUUGGGACGAAGCUUUUUGUGACGGUACCUAGAUAAGAAGCGCCGGCUAACUACGUG